rnacentral:rRNA from 1 species
AGCUCCAAUAGCGUAUAUUAAAGUUGUUGCAGUUAAAAAGCUCGUAGUUGAACUUCAGAUCUGGUCGGGCGGUCCGCCUCACGGUGUGUACUGUCUGACUGGGUCUUACCUCUUGGUGAGCCGGCGUGCCCUUUAUUGGCGUGCGUCGGGGAACCAGGACUUUUACCUUGAGAAAAUUAGAGUGUUCAAAGCAGGCUUAUGCCCGAAUACAUUAGCAUGGAAUAAUAAAAUAGGACGUGCGGUUCUAUUUUGUUGGUUUCUAGAAUCGCCGUAAUGAUUAAUAGGGAUAGUUGGGGGCAUUGGUAUUGAGUCGCUAGAGGUGAAAUUCUUGGAUUGACUCAAGACCAACUACUGCGAAAGCAUUUGCCAAGGAUGUUUUCA